rnacentral:tRNA from 1 species
GCCCUGGUGGUGCAAUGGUUAAGCACUUGGCUGCUAACUGAAAGGUUGUGGUUCAAAUCCACCCAGUGGCU